rnacentral:rRNA from 1 species
UGAAUACGAGAUGCUACGGCGUCGAAGCAGUCUAUGUCAUACUUCCAAGAAAAGCUUGCACUGUCAUAAACAAAUAAUGCCUGUACCAUAACCGACACAGGUGGGUAGGUAGAGUAUACUAAGGGGCGCGAGAUAACUCUCUCUAAGGAACUCGGCAAAUGACUCCGUAACUUCGGGAGAAGGAGUGCCUUAUUUAUAAGGUUGCAAUAACAAGAUCCAAGCAACUGUUUAUCAAAAACACAGGUCUCCGCUAAGUCGUAAGACGAUGUAUGGGGGCUGACGCCUGCCCAGUGCCAGAAGGUUAAAGAAGUUGGUUAGCAUUAGCGAAGCUGAUAACUGAAGCCCUGGUGAACGGCGGCCGUAACGAUAACGGUCCUAAGGUAGCGAAAUUCCUUGUCGGGUAAGUUCCGACCCGCACGAAAGGCGUAAUGAUUUGGAUACUGUCUCAGAGAGGGGCUCGGUGAAAUAGACUUGUCUGUGAAGAUGCGGACUACCUGCACCAGGACAGAAAGACCCUAUGAAGCUUUACUGUAACUUGAAAUUGAAAUUGGACUUUAUUUGCGCAGUAUAGGUGGGAGGCAUUGAGAACAUUCUUGCGGGAUUGUUGGAGCCAUCAGUGAGAUACCACUCUUGUAAUGUUAGAUUUCUAACUUUGUAUCAUUAUCUGGUCAAAGGACAGUUUCAGGCGGGCAGUUUGACUGGGGCGGUCGCCUCCUAAACGGUAACGGAGGCGCACAAAGGUUUCCUCUGAACGGGUAAAAAUCGUAUCUAGAGUGUAAAGGCAUAAGGAAGCUUGACUGUGAGACCUACAAGUCGAGCAGGGACGAAAGUCGGUCUUAGUGAUCUGACGGUGCUGAGUGGAAAGGCCGUCACUCAACGGAUAAAAGUUACUCUAGGAUAACAGGCUGAUCUCCCCCAAGAGUUCACAUCGACGGGGAGGUUUGGCACCUCGAUGUCGGCUCAUCGCAUCCUGGGGCGGUAGUACGUCCCAAGGGUUGGGCUGUUCGCCCAUGAAAGCGGUACGCGAGCUGGGUUCAGAACGUCGUGAGACAGUUCGGUCCAUAUCCGGUGUAGGCGUUAGAAUAUUGAGAGGAGCCUUCUUUAGUACGAGAGGACCGAGAAGGACAUACCUCUGGUGUACCAGUUAUCGUGCCAACGGUAAACGCUGGGUAGCUAUGUAUGGAGAGGAUAACCGCUGAAAGCAUCUAAGUGGGAAGCCCACCUCAAGAUAAG